UACGAAGGGGGCUAGCGUUGCUCGGAAUGACUGGGCGUAAAGGGCGCGUAGGCGGUUUUGUCAGUUAGGUGUGAAAUUCCUGGGCUUAACCUGGGGACUGCACUUAAUACGGCAGAGCUUGAGUUCGGAAGAGGGUAGUGGAAUUCCCAGUGUAGAGGUGAAAUUCGUAGAUAUUGGGAAGAACACCGGUGGCGAAGGCGGCUACCUGGUCCGAUACUGACGCUGAGGCGCGAAAGCGUGGGGAGCAAACAGG
rnacentral:rRNA from 1 species